AUUGAACGCUGGCGGCAUGCCUUACACAUGCAAGUCGAACGGCAGCAUGGAGAGCUUGCUCUCUGAUGGCGAGUGGCGGACGGGUGAGUAAAGCAUCGGAACGUACCGUGUAGUGGGGGAGAACGUAGCGAAAGUUACGCUAAUACCGCAUACGCACUGAGGUGGAAAGCAGGGGAUCGCAAGACCUUGCGCUAUACGAGCGGCCGAUGUCAGAUUAGCUAGUUGGUAGGGUAAAGGCCUACCAAGGCGACGAUCUGUAGCGGGUCUGAGAGGAUGAUCCGCCACACUGGGACUGAGACACGGCCCAGACUCCUACGGGAGGCAGCAGUGGGGAAUUUUGGACAAUGGGGGCAACCCUGAUCCAGCCAUGCCGCGUGAGUGAAGAAGGCCUUCGGGUUGUAAAGCUCUUUCGGCCGGGAAGAAAUCGCACAGGCUAAUACUCUGUGUGGAUGACGGUACCGGCAUAAGAAGCACCGGCUAACUACGUGCCAGCAGCCGCCGUAA
rnacentral:rRNA from 1 species